GAAGGAAAGAAGAGCUAGUUGCUCGCUGCAGGUUCUCCUGGCUCGGCGGCGCGGAGGCAAAGGCCUGUUUCUGCAAAGACUUUGUGAGGCCCCAUGACUCUUCCUCAACCUCCCGACCGCUGGAGGUCCCUGAUAGUUGAAUAAGCUAAGUGCAAUGUGCCCGCCCAGUUCUUUCCUGGAAGAUGAAACACAGCUCCCUGAGUCAGGAGACAGAAGAAUGGAUAAACAUUCCUCAAUUGCUGUUGAUAGGUUCUCACCCCAGAACCCAGGCAGUCGGCCUCAUGCUCCAGAGUGCAGGUCCCAUAAGGCACCCAAGGGGAGCCGUCAAUUAGAGCCGUGCUUGAGCCUAAGGCUGACCUGAACCGUUUGAAGGCAGAUCUUCCAUGGAGUGCCCCGGUCCUUUUCUGGAAAGGUCAAAGGGAUGAGAGGGGUCUCUGCAGUGUCCUGGAUCUGGUUUCAACCUCACCUUCUCCAUGUAUGAGAAGACAAGUCACUUGGAUUCACCAUGCCUCGGUUUCCCCAGAUGGCAAGCAGGACUCAGCCUUUUGUACCUGGUCCAUCAGAGGACGAGCUUUCACGUGUUAGCCAACACCUCCGUCAUCACCAUCAUUGCCAUGAUCAUCGUCCUCAUCACCUUGACACGCUGAGCUUUGUAGCUUAAAAACAAAAUGCCUUUAACAAUGUGCAACAGGUCUAAGAUGCCACCUUUGGGAUCAGAUGGGAGUUUGGGAUUAUUUCUAUUUUCCAAUUGUUCAGCCCCCUCCCACUAAGUGCGAAGCGGAGAGCCAUUAAGUUGCAAUGGAUUUGAUUCACCACGUGGCCCCUCAAAUCCUUUCUGGAACAAGAUUGGAUGUAAAAAUAAAUCAAAUAAAUGCAUUUUCAGCGUGUGCAGCCCAGCCCAGA
rnacentral:lncRNA from 1 species